UGAAGGUGGAAAGAAAGGAGAUCAUCUCAGCAGAAAUCAGUAUUUGGGGAGAGAAAAUAACCCUGUGGAUAGUUCCUUGAACAUGCAAGCAGGAGGAGCUGUGGAUGCUCAUGGAGGUUCACUGACUUACUGCUUUCUUAAUCACAGUAGCUGAAUCCAACCCAUGCGUUAACUACUUGUGAGGGUGUGGGACAGUGUGGCAUUGCUAAAUGAAAGGAAAAUUUAUUGUUUGAACCCACCCCUGCUGAUAGUCCAGCUACCAUCUGUGCAUUGCACUGUGGCAAUGCUCAAGUACAGGCUCAGCAGCAGCAGCUCAGCAUGAGAACAGCUACCUGUGAAUGAAGAGAGGGUGGAGGAGUUCCUC